CACCGUCGAAUCCACGCGACGCCUCCAACCCCCUUUUUAGUCUAUCGUUACAGUGGGAUGCGUGUUCUGAGAAACUAUCGUUCUUAACAACUCAAUACGAAGUAAUCGUACAUAAAAAGACGUCAAUAAGCGUUACCUAUAGACGUAUUUUCAUCAGAAUUAUCCUGCUCAAUUUUUACGAUUGCUUCUUUCGAGCGGGCGUUCGUGCGUGUCUCUAACCCCCUCUGUUUAUUUCACUCGCACUCGGUGGACAGUACCUCCCCUUGGAUGUUUCAUUCGUCGGAACACGCACACAUCGUAACCACAGAGUUUUACACUGCAAUCCGCAAACGUCAUCGACCACUGUCCGACCAAAGAAUUGACUUCCACCAACGAAAUCUGCCGCCCCUGUCCUUAAUUGGAGAUACCGUUAGCCUCGCGACCAAGAAGAAGGCCACUUGACCCCGCGAAUCGAUUCGCGACUGAGUUACGGAUUUUUUCUACUGGUAGACGAGACAGACUGAGAUUAUGGUAACCGUAUCGUAAGGUGAGCAGCGAGGAGGCGAUGUGGAUGUACCAGAUGGCCUGUGGCCAUCGGGAUGAACCAAGAGCUUGCACUGGGAAAUUAGAUACCUUCGCAGACCAACGAACCUGUUUUCGGACGAUACGUGAAGAGAUCGAAUCGAGUGGAUGGCUCGAAAGUUGGAUAGCUCUGCGUUGGAGGUGUUCGCGAUUUGGAAUGAUCGUCCGUUUAUGAUUCGGACAGCACCUCUCCCUUUUUUGGGAAAUUCCGAAUUGCCCGCUUUCCCGAGCGGUAAAUCUAGAAAACCCCAGGGAUGGAAAGGCACGAUGUACGAAGGAAACUUAGCGACUGGGGGAAUGUCAACAACAUACUGGGACAGUCUUUAUCAGAUCGUCGUAUCGUGCAGGCGAAAAACUACAUCUUCUUCAGUCUCAACAAGAUCUUACAAUCAGGACAUCAAACUCUGCUUGUAUACAACAAGUGCAAAUAAAUUGCCAAACUAUACUAA